rnacentral:rRNA from 1 species
AUUGAACGCUGGCGGCAGGCCUAACACAUGCAAGUCGAACGAGUGGCGGACGGGUGAGUAAUGUCUGGGAAACUGCCCGAUGGAGGGGGAUAACUACUGGAAACGGUAGCUAAUACCGCAUACCAUCGGAUGUGCCCAGAUGGGAUUAGCUAGUAGGGGGGGUAACGGCUCACCUAGGCGACGAUCCCUAGCUGGUCUGAGAGGAUGACAAGCCACAUGGGCCAUGAGCCACGGUCCAGACUCUGCCGGGAGGCAGCAGUGGGGAUUUUUGCACAAUGGGCGCAAGCCUGAUGCAGCCAUGCCGCGUGUAUGAAGAAGGCCUUCGGGUUGUAAAGUACUUUCAGCGAGGAGGCGUUCCUCGCAGAAGAAGCCCCGGCUAACUCCGUGCCAGCAGCCGCUGUAAUAC